AAAACAGUAAUUCUUCUGAAGUGCUCUUAAUCAUCUUGUUUUAUUUACCAUUAUAAAAUAUGUGUAGAACGUAGCGGAAGUAUUCAUUCGUAUCUUUUUGCGAAAGCGAUUUACAUUAGAACGCGAUGAACCUAAAUCGUAGGAAUUGAUUCACAUAUCCUCGGAUCGUCUACGAAGGCCUUUUAUCGCUCCAAACUUGCGAUGAAUCGAAUUACAAAUGAACACGAUCUCCAAUCCAUCGUUUUAGACCUUCUAAAAUAAUGGGUUAAUGGAGGAAGUGAUUUCUACGUUUCUUUUUUGGUUUUCAUAUUAUCUCUAUUAUGAGAGAUAGUCCGUAUAUUUAUAAGGGAUUUCAAAAUCCUAAUAGAUACGUAAGAAAUAAGACCAAAUCGAUUUAUAAUUAUUAUUCUAAUCUAAUUAAAAUUUAUCUCUAAUUAGUUUUUUAAUUUAAAAACGAGAUUAAUUCUAGUCUAAUUAGAUAAUAUAAUAACUUUCGAAUUGAGCUUGAUUAUAGACGCAACCGAUUUGUUUUAACCUAAUGCCAAUAAUAUAAAAUGCAAAGUUGAAAAGGAGAGUUAACUACUAAAAGCUACUUACUGGAACCAUUUAUGUUAAUUUCGUAAUUAAAGAACCCAAACACUUGCCCCUUAAACUCUCUCAUGUAGACAUGUAUCAUAUUCAUAUUCGUAUUUCGUAUUCAUAUGAUAAAAGAUCAAAAUAGUAGUAGUUUUCAACUUUUCAUAACCUUAAUAUAAAUACCCCACUCCCCUCACCUCCUCUUCUCCCUCCAUACCCUCUCUCUCUCUCUCUCUCUCUCUCUCUCUCUCUCUCUCUCUCUCUAAAACGUUUCCUUUCUCUCACUAAAAGCCUUUCUCUCUAGAGGUACAUCACUACUCUACAUAUGUUCCCUUUCUCUCUCUCUAAAACCCACUCUCUCUCUCUAUCUCUAACACCCUAGCACUCACCAUACCAUUUCUCAAGCACCUCCUCUUCUCCCUCCAUCCCCUCUCUCUCUCUCUCUAAAACGUCUCCUUUCUCUCACUAAAACUCUCUCUCUCUCUCUCUAGAGGUACAUCACUACUCUAUCUGUGUCCCCUUUCUCUCUCUUUAAAACCCCCUCUCUCUAAACUCUCUCUCUCUAAACGCAUCACCACUCACCACCUCAUUUCUCUCUCUCUCUCUCUAAACUCUCUCUCUAAACGCAUCACCACUCACCACCUCAUUUCUCUCUCUAAGACUCUCUCUCUCAUCUCCAAACCCUAGCAAGCAAUCGAUCAAAACCCCAGCAAAAUUAAGAAGAGGGGAGAUCGAACGGCGUACCGAUCGGAGCAAUCGAUGAGGCCGUACCUCGGUGAUCUCCUCCCCCCACCCUCGGCGGCGGCGGCGGCGGCGGCGCCCCUCGGGGCGGCGCCCCGGCCGCCUCCGCCGCUGGGCUCGUCGCCGGUGCCCUACCUCUUCGGCGGGAUCGCCGCCAUGCUCGGCGUCAUCGCCCUCGCCCUCCUCCUCCUCGCCUGCUCCUACUGGAAGCUCUCCGGCGACCUCGACUCCCCCUCCCCCGCCGCCGCCGCCGGGGACGACGACGGCGCCGACCACCGCGGCGCCGGCGCCGCCGCGAAGUCAGGGGUGGUGGUGAUCGUCAUGGCCGGGGAGGAGGAGCCCUCGUUCCUCGGCGUCCCCGUCGACGCGAAGCCGAGGGAGGCGGGUAUUUAUAAGGGGCCCGCUUCGGAGGGCACGGUCGGUGAUCAUAAGGAGGGCGGUGAGGUUACCUCACAGGGGCAGUGAGGUUACCGCACGGGACUCGAGGCGAGGGGGGUAAAGAGGGAACGUAAAAAAUGUGCGGAGGCCCCCCUCAACUAUACCGGUUUUUUAAAUGAGCCCCUUUUAACUUUUGUUUGCUUGAUUGAAACUUUGUCCGUUUAUAGUUUCUUUUUCAAAAUUAGGUGAUUUUAGCUAAAAAGAUAAUGAUUGAAAAUUCUAUGUAAUUUGUUGAUGAUUUUAUCAAAUUUAAUGACUUUAAUUAUUUUUGAGCGAAUAAAAUCAAAUCAACUAAUGAUUGAUAGUUGAUAAUGUCAAUUAAUUUAGAGCCACUUCAAAUACCACUUAUAUGAUUUCGCACUUUUUUACUUUAGUAUCAUGUGGUUUUUUUUUUUUUUAACAGAUUUUUUUUUGUUAAAUCGGUAACAAAGUUUUUUGUUUUUUGAGAGAGAAAAAUAGCAUGCUAUCGCUUCAUUUAUUAAAAAGGUGAAUUAGCAAAUUGUGGGACGCAAUAGCACUUCCACAAAAAAAAAAAAAAUAAAAGAAAAAAAAAAGUUAAACACAGUUAGUCUUCCACAAAAUUUUAUGCGAACGUAAAUCAGUCAACACCUGUCUUAAAGUGAGCUCUCUACUUUUGAAAAUUUUUAUAUUUCGCUCCAACCAAAUGACCCACCAAGUAACGACUAUGAUCGCUGCCUCCUUUCUUCCUACUACUCUCCGUUUAAAGCUGCAGAGUUUCCAAAGAUCACCAACCAUCACACAAGUGUUUAGGCUCUGUUUGUUCGGCAAUAAGCACAUCAAUAGUGCACGUGAGUAGCAACAGCUCAAGAAAAGAUGGCCAAUAGUCUCCGGUUCUUCCAAAUAAAGAACAAGUUACAUCCCCGACCAUUCUCUUUUCACAGGAUUAUUUUUGGUAAGCACCUUUUGCAACAGGACAAGCUAUUCGAAAAUUUUAAGUUUCAAAAGAACUUUGAUUCUCCACAACUGUGUGAACUUCUUCUCCUUUAUUCCACCCUCUUGCAAAAAGUUGUACAUUGAUUUUACUGCGAAUAAAUCUGAACUAUUCUAUCUCCAUCUAGCUUCAUCGCCGUUAUCCGAUAAGGCAGUGGUGUAGAGUAGCUCCUUCAGCUGCAGGAUGGAUUUCUGGUCGGGAUGGGAAUUAGGGUAAAAUCUUAUGCCACAACCAGUCGUUUGUGCCGAAAACAUCACGCACCCGACGAUAUUUAAAAACUACAGCAUUGUAAAUUUGAGGGAACCGUGUUCGAAGGGAAAUUUGACCAUACAAUCUGUCCAGCCAAAAAUUCACACUACCGUCGUCUCCAAUCUUAUAGUAGACACCGCACUUGAACAUGUCACUGGUCGACAGGACACUUUGCCACCAUUGCGAGUAAGGUCUAAAGGGUUUCCUCCUUGUAAUAAAGUUAAAACUAAAAGGUAUUAAAAUGAAUAUUUGAUAAAUCUAGAUGGGAUAUUUGAAAUAUUUUGUAUAUAAUUAACGAAAUCUCAACGGAGAAGCUGACGAAAAGAAAAAAAUGAAAUCACAUAAUACUAAAUUAAUAAGCUUUAAAUUAUAGGAUGCUAAAGUGAGAAAGUGUCAAAUCACAUAAGUGGUAUUUAAAGUGCUCAAAUUUAGUGUGUGGUAUUUUGUAAAUAAUAGAAAUUUGAGGUCCUGAUAGGAGGUCUUGGACAAAAGCUGGAAAUAAGGACUUUAUGAAAAGAAAUUCAUUUAUCACGAUAUUUAUUAUUUAUUUUAUAAAAAUCAAAUUCUAAUUUCAUUCAGCUCUGAAAUAUAAAUAAUUCAAACUAUUUAUGGUGUAAAUUAGUUUUGAAUACUGAAUUGGCCUUCAAAACUCUUUUUAAAAAUCUUAGAUAGAUAUGUUUGGUUCAUGAUUAGAAUAGAAAUAAAAAAUAAAAUUGAAUGAUAUUAGAAUAGAAAUUGGAAAGAUAAAUUAUCAAAAAAUAUUUGGUCUCUGAUUGGAAUGGAAAUCGGAACAGUCGUGUAAAAUUUUGAAAACGAAUUUUGGCGAUGAGAGAGGAGAGUGAUGAAGUAAGGAGAGAGGAAGGUAUCUGUGAGAUAGGGUUUUAAAUGAUUUACUUUGAAAUGGAUCAAUCUGAAAUUUAAAAUUGAAUUGGGUAAUAGAUGAAUUCAAUGUUAAAUUGGGUAAUCAUUGUAUAUUUCAUAAAACAUAAUGGCAUUAACUAAAUAAAUUGCCACGUAAAUUGUAGACUUUCACCCUCCCAAUUUUCUCCUUAUUCACUUUCUCUCUCCUUACAUUCUGUAUACAGAAGUAUAACUAAUAGUAAGGGUGGCAAUCCAGCUGCCCUGUUGCCGAGCCAGUUUCAUUGUUUCGGUCGAAAUAAGCUAGAUGGUCGAAUCGCUCGUUUUCUAAAUGAGUUGAACACGGCUGAAAUUUUCAGCUCGUUUAAUAAAACGAACGAACACGAGCUAAGGGUCAGCUCGUCGUGUUCGUUCGAUAACAGCUAGAAUACAUAAUUUUAUAUUUAUAAUAAUUUAUUUAAUUUAUAUUUUAUAUAUAAAUAUAUAAUAUAUAUAAUAUAAUAUUUUAUUAUUUAAUUUUAGAAAAAUAAUAAAUAAGAAAUGUAAGCUUAAUUAUAAAAAGAUUUAUUUAUAUGUAAAAGUUUUAACUAUUAGAUCAAAGUCUAAUGAAUAAAAUUUUAUAAGUUUAUUUUUUAUAUAUAUUUAAUCUAAUAUAUUUUUAAUUUAUUGUUUGUUAGCCAGCUCUGUGUUCGGCUCGUUAAAUAAACGAGCCGAACACGAGCUGAAUUUUUUGGCUCGAUACUUUAACGAGCCAGCUCGUGUUUGGCUCAUUUAAUAAACGAAUAUUAAUAAACGAGCCGAACACGAGCCAACCCCAGCUCCCUUGUCUUCGGCUCGUUUACACCCCUGUCUAAUAGUGGGUGAAAAAAAAAAAAAAUUAAAAAUUUCACCCUCCUUGUAACAAAUAUACCCUCACACGUAAUUAUAUAAUGGGAAAACUUCAAAAACCCUCAUGUGAUUUCGUACUUUUUCAUUUUAGUAUCCUAUGGUUUAAAAUAUAUCAAGUUACUAUCAUGUGGUUUCUCACUUUAUCACUUUAGUACCCUAUAGUUUAAAAUGUAUCAAGUUAGUACUAUAUGGUUUUAUUUUUGUAUCAAGUUAGUACGCUGUGGUUUUAUUUUUGUAUCAAAUUAGUACCCUGUGGUUUUUAAACCACAUGGUACUAAAGUGAUAAAGUGCGAAACCAAAGGUUACUAAAAUAAUGAAGUGCGAAACCACAGAGUACUAAAGUGAUAAAGUGUGAAACCACAGGGUACUAACUUGAUACACUUUAAACUACAGGGUACUAAAGUGAAAAAGUGCAAAACCACAGGGUACUAAUUUGAUACACUUUAAAUCAUAAGGUACUAAAGUGAGAAAAAAUAAAACCACAAGAGGAUAUUUGAAGUUUUCCCUUCUAUAAUUUGUAUCUUUAAUAGCUCAUCAUAAAACUAAUGUGAUACAUACAACAGUUGCUUCUCUAAAGCUGGAAAAUUUAGUUGAUGCACAACUCAUUUAUUAAUAAAUCAAACAGCUAACUCGCGAA
rnacentral:lncRNA from 1 species